GAUGAACGCUAGCUACAGGCUUAACACAUGCAAGUCGAGGGGCAGCGGUAUCGAAAGCUUGCUUUCGGUAGCCGGCGACCGGCGCACGGGUGAGUAACGCGUAUCGAACCUGCCUCAUACUCGGGAAUAGCCUUGCGAAAGUAAGAUUAAUGCCCGGUGUUUUCAGAGUCCCGCAUGAGGCUUUGAACAAAGAUUUAUCGGUAUGAGAUGGGGAUGCGUCCCAUUAGCUGGUUGGCGGGGUAACGGCCCACCAAGGCAUCGAUGGGUAGGGGUUCUGAGAGGAAGGUCCCCCACAUUGGAACUGAGACACGGUCCAAACUCCUACGGGAGGCAGCAGUGAGGAAUAUUGGUCAAUGGGCGGAAGCCUGAACCAGCCAAGUAGCGUGCAGGAAGACGGCCCUCCGGGUUGUAAACUGCUUUUAGUUGGGAAUAAAACGGGGCUCGUGAGCCCCCUUGCAUGUACCAUCAGAAAAAGGACCGGCUAAUUCCGUGCCAGCCGCCGCCGUAA
rnacentral:rRNA from 1 species